rnacentral:pre_miRNA from 1 species
ACAACAUUCGGACCGUCGGUCUACCGAGCAAAUAUCACACGCUCGUUGGAAGGUCUUUCCCUACGUCGA